AAGGGCACCACAAGAACGCGUGGAGCAUGUGGCUUAAUUUGACUCAACGCGGGAAAUCUUACCGGGUCCGGACACACUGAGGAUUGACAGGCAAUAUUAAUAUAUACUUUUUUUCAUUCCUUCGGGUAUGUUAAAAUGUCAUAUAUUAUGUUAAAUAUGCUAGUCCUUUCAUGAUUAUGUGAUAGGUGGUGCAUGGCCGUUCUUAGUUCGUGGAGUGAUCUGUCUGCUUAAUUGCGUUUCACUAAGGGCCUAUACAAUUACGUAUGUUGUUAUUACACUUUGACCCCUCCUUCACGGGUGCGUGUGUCUUUGACUGUUUCAACUCAUACAAUUAGGUCCUGAAGGCAACGAACGUGACCGCAACCUCUUGUUGCUUUCGUAUACCCUUAUAACACAGUUUUUAUGCUCUUACGUAUUAAUUUCUGUGCAAGAAAGCUUUUUAAACUAGAGGGACCGCUGUUAUCUUCUUAAACCAGAGGAAGGUUGCGGCAAUAACAGGUCUGUGAUGCCCUUAGAUGUUCCGGGCUGCACACGUGCUACAAUGAUUAUUGCAGUGAGCAUCUCAUUUUUAUAUACACCGCAUGCGCGAGUCCAUUUAUUCAGUUUCUUACCUUCACGGGUAUCGCUGUUUUAAAUGUGUAUCUCUGCGCGCGGUAAAGCCUGCUUCGAGAGUAAGUGGGUAAUCAAUUAGAAGUAAUGAUUUCCUUUUUUUCUGCACACAUAUAUACGGCAGUUAUACCCGGGUAACCUUGUUGUUACUUUCUGUGUGUAUAGCUGUACCCUUUUUCCGUAUGUGCGAUUGUCAAUUCAUGGUGGGGACAGACCAUUGUUAAUUGUUGGUCUCGGUCUUAACUAGGAAUGCCUUGUACGGGUCUUUGGUUCAACAAACCACCCGGAAUACGUCCCUGCCCUUUGUACACACCGCCCGUC
rnacentral:rRNA from 1 species